rnacentral:tRNA from 1 species
GGAGUAGCGCAGUUGGUAGCGCAAUUGAUUCGUAAUCAAUAGGCCGUCGGUUCAAGUCCGAUCUCC